rnacentral:lncRNA from 1 species
AUGUGUGAGGUGGUGCUAUGUAGCAGGAACCCCUCUUGCUUUGCAAAUAGUUUUUUGUUUGUUUUCCUUUUUGCCCAAUAGAGCCCUGCUCUACUGACCCUUCAAUGUGCCCGUGUGCCUAAAUAUUCCUGGUCGUGUGAAAAGAACCCAGGUAUUAGCUGAACUAAGGAGCACAAUUCUGCAACAUUUUGGCACCCAAACACGGGGCUUGAGAAAUGAAUGCAAUUGGAGAAACUGGUUGUUUUACCAGGCGUUGAUUGGAAAUGUGUGCUUCCCUUUAAGCAGUCAAGCUCAACUUGCAGAACUGAUGGGAACCCCUUGGGAAAACUGGCCUCAAAUGUUUGUCUACACAGUCCACAUACAGGGUUCUUAACCUGCGGAAACACUUUCUGAAAAUGUCAGAACUCUUGAAAACAUGGAUGAGGAAAAGCAUAAGUACUGCUUUAUGCUUUUCUUAUGAAUUUUAAAAGAUGUAAUUUAAAGAUUGAAACUCCCACAACUUUGGCAGACCAACUCCUCAGAAAACAUUAUUCUUUGACAUCAAUAUGUUUUGCACAAAAUUGAAUGGCAAGUGAAAGGCAUCAAAUGGUGAGAAUCUAGAAAAUAGUGCAUGUACGGGAAGGCUUUGCUCAAUACAAAUCACUUGCAUGGGACAGUCUUCUUUAGUGAGUUUAUUAUAUACGGGAACAGAGAGGUAAUAUGAAAUGGAAUAUGGAAUAUGGCACUAGCAAGCACAAAUAUUCAAAUAUGUGGAGGAACAACUGGAUGUGAUAAAACACUAUAAAAAAAAUAGAGAGAAAAAUGACAGUAGGAAAAAGACUGUAUAUAUUUUUUGAGAAUAAAAGAUAGUUUCAUUUCAUUGGUGGACAUGAGAUGAGUUGAUGCAGCAUGCAGGUGGAUACCAUUUUUUUCAAAGAAAAUAUGAACAGAGUCUCAAAUAAAUAACAAAUGUUUAUAUGUGGGUUUCAAGGACAGAGAAUAAUAAAAUAACCAAAUAUACAUAAUGUUCCAGUAAAAUGAUCCAUCAGGGCUUACAGAAAGCGUAACUAGAGAGAGACAUUAACUUGCAGAUGAUUUGUUUCUGGCUAAUGUUGUGACAGGAGUGUAGCAUUUCCUUUCUUCUCAGUUUCCUAUCUCACUUACCUUUUGAAAAGACAUGAUUCCAUAUUAUAUUUAUUCUGUUUCUCUCUUUCUUUAUUCAUUUACCCUACUUUACUGAAAAAUCUCAAACAUCAUAGAAACAUGCAUGUCUUGGUUCUCCAAGUUUGAAAGGAAAAUAAUGUAGAAAGCUCUGUUUUUUUUGCCCUGGCAUUUAUAUACUCUCCAAUCUCACUACUCCCAUAUCACUCUUCUACCUCUCUUAGAGCAAAAUUGCCUCUUAAAAAAGGACAUUGCACCCAGCAUGGUGGCUCAUGCCUGUAAUCCCACAACUUUGGGAAAUUGCGCCAGUGCACUCCAGUCUGGGAGACAGAGCGAGACUCCAUCUAAAAAAAAAAAAAAAA